AACGAACGCUGGCGGCAGGCUUAACACAUGCAGGUCGAACGCCCCGCAAGGGGAGUGGCAGACGGGUGAGUAACGCGUGGGAAUCUACCUAGUUCUACGGAACAACAGAGGGAAACUUCUGCUAAUACCGUAUACGCCCUAAGGGGGAAAGAUUUAUCGGAAUUAGAUGAGCCCGCGUAAGAUUAGCUAGUUGGUGGGGU
rnacentral:rRNA from 1 species